GAACUAUAACUUUAGCAGUACAUAGUUUUAAUUGGAACAACAUAGAGAAGAUGAGCAUGGGCUCCAUGCGAGACGACACCCAAAUUCUUGAAGCGUUCUAUAUUCUU
ensembl:snRNA U6 U6 spliceosomal RNA